rfam:Fusarium verticillioides 7600 chromosome 7, whole genome shotgun sequence.
GACUGUAAUGGUCUAACGGUGAAGGCGUUCAAACCCGUUCAACCGCCCAUCCCAAUACUGUAGUACUUCGGUAUCGCAGCCCUCCGCCGCGCCCCGCCCGAACGCUGCGGUGGUCGCCCACUCGUGCAGGUAACUCACGAUGCUGGAACUUUGCGGCCCUAAGCACUGGAGAUGACCCUUGAGGGAGGUUUCACUCUGCAGAGAUCUCUCCCCCGUCGCGUGGCGGGUGGGAACACGUUAGUGCGGGGGGAUUUGGGAUGGCAAGUGGAUGAGAUGGAGCAGCCAACUGUCUUUUUUUGUAUUUUUUGACAAUU